rnacentral:piRNA from 1 species
UUCCUAGACAGGCCCCGAGUCGCCU